rnacentral:rRNA from 1 species
CCCAGACAGCCAGGAUGUUGGCUUAGAAGCAGCCAUCAUUUAAAGAAAGCGUAAUAGCUCACUGGUCGAGUCGGCCUGCGCGGAAGAUGUAACGGGGCUAAACCAUGCACCGAAGCUGCGGCAGCGACACUAUGUGUUGUUGGGUAGGGGAGCGUUCUGUAAGCCUGUGAAGGUGUGCUGUGAGGCAUGCUGGAGGUAUCAGAAGUGCGAAUGCUGACAUAAGUAACGAUAAAGCGGGUGAAAAGCCCGCUCGCCGGAAGACCAAGGGUUCCUGUCCAACGUUAAUCGGGGCAGGGUGAGUCGACCCCUAAGGCGAGGCCGAAAGGCGUAGUCGAUGGGAAACGGGUUAAUAUUCCCGUACUUGGUGUUACUGCGAAGGGGGGACGGAGAAGGCUAUGUUGGCCGGGCGACGGUUGUCCCGGUUUAAGCGUGUAGGUGUGUGUUCCAGGUAAAUCCGGUUCACUUUAACACUGAGGCGUGAUGACGAGGCACUACGGUGCUGAAGCAACAAAUGCCCUGCUUCCAGGAAAAGCCUCUAAGCAUCAGGUAACAUCAAAUCGUACCCCAAACCGACACAGGUGGUCAGGUAGAGAAUACCAAGGCGCUUGAGAGAACUCGGGUGAAGGAACUAGGCAAAAUGGUGCCGUAACUUCGGGAGAAGGCACGCUGACACGUAGGUGAAGUGAUUUACUCAUGGAGCUGAAGUCAGUCGAAGAUACCAGCUGGCUGCAACUGUUUAUUAAAAACACAGCACUGUGCAAACACGAAAGUGGACGUAUACGGUGUGACGCCUGCCCGGUGCCGGAAGGUUAAUUGAUGGGG